GACGAACGCUGGCGGUGUGCUUAACACAUGCAAGUCGAACGGUAAGGCCCUUUCGGGGGUACACGAGUGGCGCACGGGGGAGUAACACGUGAGUAACCUGCCCUCAUCUCUGGGAUAACAGUCGGAAACGGUUGCUAAUACUGGAUAUGAGCUUGCGAGGCAUCUUGGGGGUUGGAAAGAUUUUUUUGGUUGGGGAUGGACUCGCGGCCUAUCAGCUUGUUGGUGAGGUAGUGGCUAACAAAGGCUUCGACGGGUAGCCGGCCUGAGAGGGCGACCGGCCACAUUGAGACUGAGAUACGGCCCAAACUCCUACGGGAGGCAGAAGUGGGGAAUAUUGCACAAUGGACGGAAGUCUGAUGCAGCAACGCCGCGUGCGGGAUGACGGCCUUCGUGUUGUAAACCGCUUUCAAUUGUGACGAAGCUUUUUGUGACGGUAGCAGUAGAAGAAGCACCGGCUAACUACGUG
rnacentral:rRNA from 1 species